rnacentral:rRNA from 1 species
UACGUAGGGGGCUAGCGUUGUCCGGAUUUAUUGGGCGUAAAGAGCGUGUAGGCGGCCAUGUAGGUCCGGUGUGAAAACUCGAGGCUUAACCUCGAGAUGUCAUCGGAAACCAUUUGGCUAGAGUCCGGAAGAGGAGAGUGGAAUUCCUGGUGUAGCGGUGAAAUGCGCAGAUAUCAGGAAGAACACCAAUGGCGAAAGCAGCUCUCUGGGACGGUACUGACGCUGAUGCACGAAAGCUAGGGUAGCAAACGGG